CCUCGGGGUGUUAUAGCCCGGCGCACAAUACGGUGCCGCCCGCGCGAGGUCCGCGCUUCGGCUAGGAUGCUGGCGUAAUGGUCGUAUGCGGCCCGUCUUGAAACACGGACCAAGGAGUCUAACAUCUGUGCGAGUGUUCGGGUGUCAAACCCCUACGCGGAAUGAAAGUGAACGGAGGUGGGAGCUUCGGCGCACCAUCGACCGAUCCUGAUGUCCUCGGAUGGAUUUGAGUAAGAGCAUAGCUGUUGGGACCCGAAAGAUGGUGAACUAUGCCUGAAUAGGGUGAAGCCAGAGGAAACUCUGGUGGAGGCUCGCAGCGGUUCUGACGUGCAAAUCGAUCGUCAAAUUUGGGUAUAGGGGCGAAAGAC
rnacentral:rRNA from 1 species